rnacentral:rRNA from 1 species
CCUACGGGAGGCAGCAGUGAGGAAUAUUGGUCAAUGGGCGAGAGCCUGAACCAGCCAAGUCGCGUGAGGGAGUACUGCCCUAUGGGUUGUAAACCUCUUUUGUCGGGGAGCAAAAGCCGGACGUGUCCGGCUGUGAGAAUACCCGAAGAAAAAGCAUCGGUAAACUCCGUGACAGCAGCCGCGGUAAUACGGAGGAUGCGAGCGUUUUCCGGUUUUAUUGGGUUUAAAGGGUGCGCAGGCGGAUUUUUAAGUCAGCGGUAAAAUCGUGGGGCUCAACCCCAUCGAGCCGUUGAAACUGGGGAUCUAGAGUGUGCGAGAGGUAUGCGGAAUGCGUGGUGUAGCGGUGAAAUGCAUAGAUAUCACGCAGAACCCCGAUUGCGAAGGCAGCAUACCGGUGCACAACUGACGCUCAGGCACGAAAGCGUGGGUAUCGAACAGGAUUAGAUACCCCAGUAGUC